ensembl:lncRNA
ACCUUAUAAGUUUCGUUUCAGCUAGAUGCGCUGAUAUUUGUCAGGAUACCGAGGAACGGGAAAUACUUGCCUGGCAUAAGGAGAGACCAGCCUCGCAUACAUUUCUAUAAAAAAAAAUCCAGACUACAGUAAUACUCGUUUUAAGGAUUUUCGAAAACCGUUAACGUUUUUAUUAAACUAUUCCAUUAAAUGUGUACACAGGUUUUUACAAAUAUUUAACACUAACGGUACUGUACUUCCCUUCCUGCCUCCGCGUAAGUAAUUUUGUCUUCCGCAUAAUUUCGACAUAAUCUAUUCCAUACUUCAUCACCUUGAUCUUAAUAGUCAACCGUCGUUUUUUAGCUAUAGCCUAAUCAUUAUUUGUACUGGAGACAUUUAUGGCGACAUUGCAGUCAGUCUGCACAUACCCAAAGGACGUCUUAAGGGAGCGUCAACAAAGUGCGUGAUCAACGUUUUCAUAUCUCAACAACUCUGACUACAUUACCUAUAAACCUCAAACCAAUGUUAAACUGUUCAUGAAGAAAGGGAAAUAGACUGCUCUUUAUAGUGCUUAACUGUGAAACCAAAAGCUGUGCAAUGUCUGACCCUUCCCCAUGAAGAUGAUUUGAAGCAUCUAGAUCAGACCUGGGCAAGAUAAAGCCCCCGGGUUGGAUUCGGCCCGGUGAGUCAUUCUAUCUGGCCCGCGAUACAUCCAAAACUUUUAAAAUACAAAAUAAAAAAUAGCUGACGAGGUCAGCAGAUAAUGUUACUUUAUUUACUGUUGCAUAUUUAUUUAUUUUCAAAUUAAAAGUCAUGUGGCACUCCCAGUAAUAAGUCCAGCAGUAUCAUACUGUCUGUUUAAAAUACAUAUAAGUUGAAACAAGGUAUUUGCGUUGCUAUGAUACGUAGGGACCAGCACCACAAUCCACGCACAGAAGUUAUCAUUUGUACGUACUAUACGCAAAUGAUGGCUAGCGAUCUCUGGAAAUGAGCCUAAGAAAAUUUGUUAACGAACGCAGGGUAUUUAAAAAACUAUUGACAGGAAAAUAUUUAUUUGCAGAUGUCGCAGGUAAAGCAACUUGCUUAAUAUGUUGAGCUAAUGUCACAGUUUUUAAAGAGUACAAUUUGCAGAGGCACUUCCAGAGCAAGCAUGCAGCGGAAUACAAAAACUGUCACCCGAUGCUACAAUUCAACAAGCCCAAGCGCAGAUGCGGCCUCUCUGAUGAACAUCUUGCAGCAGUACCGCACACUGCUUCAACAGAACCGCACACUGCUUCAAUAGAACCGCACACUGCUUCAACAGAACCGCACACUGCUUCAACAGAACCGCACACUGCUUCAACAGAACCGCACACUGCUUCAAUAGAAACGCACACUGCUUAAACAGAAAAGACUCCUGACUUCACCUCACUUGUCAACGCCCAUACGAGGCUGUCCUGUUCAUAUUGAGUGAGUAGCCCUAAAAGUUGAUUUAUUGGGUCUGGGCUGCUGGAAUCGCUGUCGUUAAAAGGACGUAGUACUAUGAAGUUAGAUGAGGGAAAUUAAACCAACAUUUGCUUUGAGUGAAAAUCUUCAGAAGUGAUUUCAUAGACUUAUGUCUGCCCUAAUAACUAUUAUACCUAUAUAACUGUUAUACACUAUACCUUAUGUAAUGUAGCUUACUCUAUUGAGUUGAAAGUUAAGGAAAAUAUGUGUUGUAACAUUUCUGUUGAGUAAUAACCCUAAAAAGGGAUUUUUUAGGCCUUUGCCUGCCAUAAUAACAGUUGUUAACAGAAAAAAAAUAAUUGUUAAAGUAAAUUAGGUUCAUUAAGGGGUUCAAAAACCCCUUAAUGAUGAAAACAAUCUUGUGUUCUGUGACAAGCCCCAACCCCGGGCCUGGCUCCAGGGUGGGGCCC